rnacentral:rRNA from 1 species
GUCCUAGCCGUAAACGAUGGACACUAGGUGUUGGUGGUAUCAACCCCGCCAGUGCCGAAGCUAACGCAUUAAGUGUCCCGCCUGGGGAGUACGGCCGCAAGGCUAAAACUCAAAGGAAUUGACGGGGGCCCGCACAAGCAGCGGAGCGUGGGGUUUAAUUCGACGCAACGCGAAGAACCUUACCAAGGCUUGACAUUACCAGGACAGCGGCGGAAACGUCGUCUUCCCGCAAGGGACCUGGCCACAGGUGUUGCAUGGCUGUCGU